UGGGGAAUUUUGGACAAUGGGCGAAAGCCUGAUCCAGCAAUGCCGCGUGUGUGAAGAAGGCCUUCGGGUUGUAAAGCACUUUUGUCCGGAAAGAAAUCCUUGGCUCUAAUACAGUCGGGGGAUGACGGUACCGGAAGAAUAAGCACCGGCUAACUACGUGCCAGCAGCCGCGGUAAUACGUAGGGUGCAAGCGUUAAUCGGAGUUACUGGGCGUAAAGCGUGCGCAGGCGGUUUGCUAAGACCGAUGUGAAAUCCCCGGGCUCAACCUGGGAACUGCAUUGGUGACUGGCAGGCUAGAGUAUGGCAGAGGGGGGUAGAAUUCCACGUGUAGCAGUGAAAUGCGUAGAGAUGUGGAGGAAUACCGAUGGCGAAGGCAGCCCCCUGGGCCAAUACUGACGCUCAUGCACGAAAGCGUGGGGAGCAAACAGGAUUAGAUACCCUGGUAGUCCNCGCCCUAAACGAUGUCAACUAGUGUUGGGGAUUCAUUUCCUUAGUAACGUAGCUAACGCGUGAAGUUGACCGCCUGGGGGAGUNCGGUCGCAAGAUUAAAACUCAAAUGAAUUGACGGGGUCAUAGCUGUUUCCU
rnacentral:rRNA from 1 species